rnacentral:rRNA from 1 species
AGUGAACGCUGGCGGUAUGCCUAACACAUGCAAGUCGAACGGCAGCACAGUAAGAGCUUGCUCUUACGGGUGGCGAGUGGCGGACGGGUGAGGAAUACAUCGGAAUCUACUUUUUCGUGGGGGAUAACGUAGGGAAACUUACGCUAAUACCGCAUACGACCUACGGGUGAAAGCAGGGGAUCUUCGGACCUUGCGCGAUUGAAUGAGCCGAUGUCGGAUUAGCUAGUUGGCGGGGUAAAGGCCCACCAAGGCGACGAUCCGUAGCUGGUCUGAGAGGAUGAUCAGCCACACUGGAACUGAGACACGGUACAGACUCCUACGGGAGGCAGCAGUGGGGAAUAUUGGACAAUGGGCGAAAGCCUGAUCCAGCCAUACCGCGUGGGUGAAGAAGGCCUUCGGGUUGUAAAGCCCUUUUGUUGGGAAAGAAAAGCAGCAGGUUAAUACCCCGCUGUUCUGACGGUACCCAAAGAAUAAGCACCGGCUAACUUCGUG